rnacentral:rRNA from 1 species
GACGAACGCUGGCGGCGUGCCUAAUACAUGCAAGUUGAGCGAUGAAGAUUGGUGCUUGCACCAAUUUGAAGAGCAGCGAACGGGUGAGUAACGCGUGGGGAAUCUGCCUUUGAGCGGGGGACAACAUUUGGAAACGAAUGCUAAUACCGCAUAACAACUUUAAACAUAAGUUUUAAGUUUGAAAGAUGCAAUUGCAUCACUCAAAGAUGAUCCCGCGUUGUAUUAGCUAGUUGGUGAGGUAAAGGCUCACCAAGGCGAUGAUACAUAGCCGACCUGAGAGGGUGAUCGGCCACAUUGGGACUGAGACACGGCCCAAACUCCUACGGGAGGCAGCAGUAGGGAAUCUUCUGCAAUGGACGAAAGUCUGACCGAGCAACGCCGCGUGAGUGAAGAAGGUUUUCGGAUCGUAAAACUCUGUUGGUAGAGAAGAACGUUGGUGAGAGUGGAAAGCUCAUCAAGUGACGGUAACUACCCAGAAAGGGACGGCUAACUACGUG